AACGCAGAAGUUAGCAACAAUUUUUGGAUUUUUUUUAUUUUGUUUUUAUUCGAUGCUUCAUAAAUGUCAAGUAAUUUAUGCUUUGAUUUUUUUAAGGUUUCAGGGAGACGCCCCAAAGCUCUGAAACCGCACCAAAAACCUACCUCCGAUGACUCCUUCUGCAACUUCCUCUCAAUCACCUCCUAAGCCUUUGAAGAACGCUAGCAAGGCUGCGAUUAAGGAGAUGCUUCUGACUCCGAGGUUCUACACGACUGAUUUUGAUGAGAUGGAGACGUUUUUCAACACCGAAGUCAACAAGAAUUUGAACCAAACUGAGUUUGAGGCUUUGCUCCAGAAGAAAUCAAGUCCCAUCUUCCAUUAGCCAGUAUUUCAUUUGCUUUAUCUGGUUCUCUAUUUCUAAUGUCUUCCUUCGGCUUUGUUUGGAAGUGUUUUGAAGUAUAUGUUUUACAUUAAACCAAUAUGCUAAAGAAAACAUAUUGUUAUUGCCAAUUUUGUUGUGGGUUUUUUUUCAGAUCAAUUCUUGCUUGCUUCUUUUUUGCAAGGAGGGAGACGACUGGAAGUUUGAAAAUUUUUCUUUCUAAUGAAGAUAAUUCAAUUGUGUCUGAAGCGUUUAUAUUGCUUUGAACUCAAUUUUCUAAUAUAUUUGAUAUCUUUAUGUAAUUUUUCCACCUCUCCCAUUUUUCUUGCAUUCAGUAACCAUUUUUGUUAUAUUUGUUUUGAUGGUCAAACAAAAAGUGUCCUCAAGGUGUUCGACAGAAGGCCUAUGAGACAAUCGAAGGGACAACAAUAUCUUGUUCUUGUUGGGGAACUUGUCUAGUGAGAAAUUUAGGUGGAGAGACAAAUGUUGUGUGACUAGGACAGCCAUACAUGUAGUCCGCCGAUAUAGAUAUAUGUUUGAUCUGUUUCAACCUGAACAGGUUAUUUGGGAGUCGUACAAAAUUAUUAUGCAUACUUUGCCUAAUUUUUGUACGAAUUG